GCUAGUUUAGCUCAAUGGUUAGAGCAUCAGCCCUCUGACUGAAGGGUCAUGGGUUCAAUUCCGGUUGCAGGCU
rnacentral:tRNA from 1 species